rnacentral:rRNA from 1 species
UGGGGAAUUUUCCGCAAUGGGCGCAAGCCUGACGGAGCAACGCCGCGUGAGGGAGGAAGGCCUGUGGGUUGUAAACUUCUUUUCUCUGGGAAGAAGAUCUGACGGUACCAGAGGAAUCAGCAUCGGCUAACUCCGUGCCAGCAGCCGCGGUAAUACGGAGGAUGCAAGCGUUAUCCGGAAUCAUUGGGCGUAAAGCGUCCGCAGGUGGUUCAUCAAGUCUGCUGUUAAAGACAGAAGCUCAACUUCUGAAAGGCAGUGGAAACUGGAGAACUAGAGUACGGUAGGGGUCGAGGGAAUUCCCAGUGUAGCGGUGAAAUGCGUAGAGAUUGGGAAGAACACCAGUGGCGAAGGCGGUCGACUGGGCCGUAACUGACACUCAGGGACGAAAGCUAGGGUAGCGAAAGGGAUUAGAUACCCCUGUAGUCC